GACGAACGCUGGCGGCGUGCUUAACACAUGCAAGUCGAACGGAAAGGCCCUGCUUUUGUGGGGUGCUCGAGUGGCGAACGGGUGAGUAACACGUGAGUAACCUGCCCUUGACUUUGGGAUAACUUCAGGAAACUGGGGCUAAUACCGGAUAGGAGCUCCUGCUGCAUGGUGAGGGUUGGAAAGUUUCGGCGGUUGGGGAUGGACUCGCGGCUUAUCAGCUUGUUGGUGGGGUAGUGGCUUACCAAGGCUUUGACGGGUAGCCGGCCUGAGAGGGUGACCGGCCACAUUGGGACUGAGAUACGGCCCAGACUCCUACGGGGGGCAGCGGUGGGGAAUAUUGCACAAUGGGCGGAAGCCUGAUGCAGCAACGCCGCGUGCGGGAUGACGGCCUUCGGGUUGUAAACCGCUUUCGCCUGUGACGAAGCGUGAGUGACGGUAAUGGGUAAAGAAGCACCGGCUAACUACGUG
rnacentral:rRNA from 1 species